GCAUACUUCUCCAUGGUCGUAUAAGGACUUCCGGCCCACAGGAUACAGAGCAGCAAGUUCAUCUGGAUCCUUUCAGCGCUGCUCACCUCGUCAGCUCAAGUGUUGCCAUAGGAAAUAGUAUCCUGGCAACAGCACUAACCUGAGCAAAGACAAAGUAAGGUCAUGCAGACAACCAGACGUGGUACAACGACGCUGUAUGGCAAUUCAUUUUCAUAACCUUUGCUUGCAAGAAAUUUCAACACAUUUUGGUCAGCCUCACUUUCUAUCAGGUCAGCCUCUUUUCACAGCUGCUUUGGUGCAGUCAUUUAAAAAUCUACAUGUUUGGAUGUCAUGCAUAAUACUGUAAUGUGUCUUGCUCUACCUGUGCUCUAUCAAUAAUUGCAUGAAAUAGCACUUUCAUCUGAAUUUGCAUUCAUACCUCAGGGGAACAGUGUGUAGAUAUUCCUCUGGGGGGUAAAAUGAACCUUUUUGUGCAGGAUUUCAGCACAUACUGCAAAGAUAUCAGCAUGCUGUUUGCAGAUAGUCACUGUAAUAUUAUACACUCCUUUCUGAGGAAUCUCAACCUUAUGCAGCAGGGUUACAGAACAAAUGAUAAACAUGCAGGAAAAUCAAUUGCUCCUGAUUUACACCACAGGAGAGUGUGAGUUGUGUAUAUUUUGCAGCCUUGAACACUGGACGGUGCUGCAUAAGUAUUCAGACUUCCAUGUUUGGUUUAACCCUCAGUUCAGUCUAUCUAAUUCCACAGAUCUGUCUGGGACUCCUUGCUGCUAAUCGUCCACAUCAUGAGCCGCCUGGAUGUUGGCAGUGUUGCCAUGGUGACUAUCAAGGGUUGAUAAAGUGGUUCGGGUCCUUUGUGUUCUGUACAUACAAGGUCUUUUGGCCACAAGAGAAUUACAGCAGAGGCAGAAAUUAUUUACAGGGAGCCUGGCAUUAAUUAAAAGGGGAAAUGACUCAUUUAGCAAACUGAUUACAGCGAGAAGAGUACGUCCAAAAACAAUUAGUUCUUUGGAAAC
rnacentral:lncRNA from 1 species